rnacentral:lncRNA from 1 species
CUCGACAUUGCAUUUCUACCGGUGCGGCUAGCUGGAGCUCCAGAGCUUCAUGAGGUGAGCAGCCGUACCUUCUCUCUCCCGCAGCUCUUCGUCGGGGGCUGCCUCGUCGGCUGAUGAGAUCGGGCAGCUGCACGAGGCCGGCGGGCCGCGGUGCCUCCUCGAUGGCGUCGCAGGGCAGGAGUCGCAGGACCCAGUCGCUCGCCUCAGGCGCCACCAUCUCGCCCGCGCGGAAGCUGAACUAGGCCGUGUUGAAACAGUAAGCAGGUCUCGACAGCCAGAACUGGUCGCACCAUGAGUGAUGGUGUUGGGCUUGAGGCAGCCGCCUGCACAUCCUUAGCAUAGCCUGCCCCCUCAUCUUGCUGGGACGAACUUUCAGUGAUUCAUCUCGCGCAAGCGUGCUGACAGUGGCAUGAUAGGCCAAACACGCACAUCCUCAGCUCCUGAUAUACAAGUAUUUUGUUUCAUCAUUUCAAAGAAUUAGUUUCAUCACUACCUUCUUUUGAACAUUCUUAUCACUUCAUCACCUGUUUGGUCAAAAUUGAAAUAUUUCAGCUGGGAGGUCAAAGUGAUUUUACAGGGACUGCUUUCAAUCUUCAUGGUGGCUAUGUUGAUUUCCAUGUAAUUGGGGAAAAAAUUAGUAUGAACCUGCAAUUGGGUUCAUUGAUGCAACAUUUGGCAAGCAUCCUACAUUAGCUAUGACUGCUGAGAUCUCCUUCCUUU